UCCAACAGUGUGCUGAAACUUCUCUGAUGGACUCCUGGACUCCUAUAAAAGUAUUCUCAUCCCCGGAUGGUUGUCAAGAUCAAUGGUCUAUGGGAAGAUGAUGUUUCUAGCCCUGAAAGAUCUCAAAUUUGGAAAUUUAGAAGAUUGGUGAAAGAAAAAAGUCUACACUGUGACUCUGUGGUCUAACACAGUCUUCCAAAAGGGAAGCCAGCCAGAGCAGGGAAUGGAAAGACAAUUUAGUCCCCAAUGGCUAAAUCCCACUGGAACCAGCGGGAAGGGAGCAAAAUAGAGAAGAGAAUGACUCUGGAGGGGCCAAUGGAAGACUCAUGAUGCCUGAGAAACAUGCUUGAGAAUUGAUGUUGGGCCCUAAACAUUACAUUUUCUUCUGAGUACUACUUUAGAUACAAUCUACUGUGGGAGAGUAGGACCUGAGCUGCUUAUUUCCAGCUCUGCAGUCUUCUUCAUGCCCUGAAGACUAUCCACACGUUAUGUAUUAUACCUGUAGUGUCCAUCUCCUGUUACCUGGCAAGGUAAACAGGGGAUUUCUGUAUGCAGAAUAUAAGGAGGCAGAAGCGGGAGGAACAGUAACAGUUAAGAGACUGUUAUAAGAAUGCAGGGGCCAGAUUUCCCUGUCUAUGAAGAAACAGGUUUCCUAAAGAUGUCAGGCAUUUGGUGUGUGUAAAGAGUGUUCCACAUUGGACCAGGAGCAGAUGUGGGUGUUACUGAGGCACUCUCUUUCAGUGGCUACAACUUUUCAAGAGCACCAUCAAACAGGUCUUCAGUUAAAAUUGAUGUUGACAAAUACUGAACUCAUAAACUGUAAGUCCCACAGACUUUAAAUAGAACCCAC